rnacentral:rRNA from 1 species
AGUGUGACGGGGUUACCCAAAGUGUUCAAUUUUGAACUGUGGUAGGUGAGUAAUGUUCCCUACUAGAAAGGAGAGGGCAAGGCUGGUGCCAGCCGCCGCGGUAAAACCAGCUCUUCAAGUGGUCGGGAUAAUUAUUGGGCUUAAAGUGUCCGUAGCCGGUUUAGUAAGUUCCUGGUAAAAUCGGGUAGCUUAACUAUCUAUAUGUUAGGAAUACUACUAUACUAGAGGGCGGGAGAGGUCUGAGGUACUACAGGGGUAGGGGUGAAAUCUUAUAAUCCUUGUUGGACCACCAGUGGCGAAGGCGUCAGACUGGAACGCGCCUGACGGUGAGGGACGAAAGCCAGGGGAGCGAACCGGAUUAGAUACCCGGGUAGUCCUGGCCGUAAACGAUGCAUACUAGGUGAUGGCACGGCCAUGAGCCGUGUCAGUGCCGUAGGGAAACCGUUAAGUGUGCCGCCUG